CUGUACUGUGUUUUUUAAGAAAGCACUCCUAUAAAAUACAGUUUAUACUAUUUUAUAGGAGUGCUUUCUUAAAAAACACAGUACAG